rnacentral:rRNA from 1 species
AUUGAACGCUGGCGGCAGGCUUAACACAUGCAAGUCAAGCGGGGGAAGGUAGCUUGCUACCGGACCUAGCGGCGGACGGGUGAGUAAUGCUUAGGAAUCUGCCUAUUAGUGGGGGACAACAUCUCGAAAGGGAUGCUAAUACCGCAUACGUCCUACGGGAGAAAGCAGGGGAUCUUCAGACCUUGCGCUAAUAGAUGAGCCUAAGUCGGAUUAGCUAGUUGGUGGGGUAAAGGCCUACCAAGGCGACGAUCUGUAGCGGGUCUGAGAGGAUGAUACGCCAAACUGGGCCUGGAACACGGCCCAGACUCCUACGGGAGGCAGCAGUGGGGAAUAAUGGACAGUGGGGGGAACCCUGAUCCAGCCAUGCCGCGUGUGUGAAGAAGGCAUUAUGGUUGUAAAGCACUUUAAGCGAGGAGGAGGCUACUUUAGUUAAUACCUAGAGAUGAGUGGACGUUACUCGCAGAAUAAGCACCGGCUAACUCUGUGCCAGCCGCCGCGGUAA